GACGAACGCUGGCGGCGUGCUUAACACCUGCAAGUCGAACGGAAAGGCCCUGCUUUUGUGGGGUGCUCGAGUGGCGAACGGGUGAGUAACACGUGAGUAACCUGCCCUUGACUUUGGGAUAACUUCAGGAAACUGGGGCUAAUACCGGAUAGGAGCUCCUGCUGCAUGGUGGGGGUUGGAAAGUUUCGGCAGUUGGGGAUGGACUCGCGGCUUAUCAGCUUGUUGGUGGGGUAGUGGCUUACCAAGGCUUUGACGGGUAGCCGGCCUGAGAGGGUGACCGGCCACAUUGGGACUGAGAUACGGCCCAGACUCCUACGGGAGGCAGCAGUGGGGAAUAUUGCACAAUGGGCGGAAGCCUGAUGCAGCAACGCCGCGUGCGGGAUGACGGCCUUCGGGUUGUAAACCGCUUUCGCCUGUGACGAAGCGUGAGUGACGGUAAUGGGUAAAGAAGCACCGGCUAACUACGUGC
rnacentral:rRNA from 1 species